UACGGGGGGCGCAAGCGUUGUUCGGAUUUACUGGGCGUAAAGGGCGCGUAGGCGGUCAGCACAGGUCAGUUGUGAAAUCUCCGGGCUUAACUCGGAAAGGUCAACUGAUACGGUGCGACUAGAGUGCGGAAGGGGCAACUGGAAUUCUCGGUGUAGCGGUGAAAUGCGUAGAUAUCGAGAGGAACACCUGCGGCGAAGGCGGGUUGCUGGGCCGACACUGACGCUGAGGCGCGAAAGCCAGGGGAGCGAACGGG
rnacentral:rRNA from 1 species